rnacentral:rRNA from 1 species
ACAUGCAAGUCGAACGGAUCCUUCGGGAUUAGUGGCAGACGGGUGAGUAACGCGUGGGAAGCUACCUUGUGGUAGGGAACAACAGUUGGAAACGACUGNUAAUACCCUAUGAGCCCUAUGGGGGAAAGAUUUAUCGCCAUGAGAUGUGCCCGCGUUAGAUUAGCUAGUUGGUAAGGUAAUGGCUUACCAAGGCGACGAUCUAUAGCUGGUCUGAGAGGAUGAUCAGCCACACUGGGACUGAGACACGGCCCAGACUCCUACGGGAGGCAGCAGUGGGGAAUAUUGGACAAUGGGGGCAACCCUGAUCCAGCCAUGCCGCGUGAGUGAUGACGGCCUUAGGGUUGUAAAGCUCUUUCAGCAGUGAAGAUAAUGACAUUAACUGCAGAAGAAGCCCCGGCUAACUUCGUGCCAGCAGCCGCGGUAAUACGAAGGGGGCUAGCGUUGUUCGGAAUCACUGGGCGUAAAGCGUACGUAGGCGGACUGAUCAGUCAGGGGUGAAAUCCCGGGGCUCAACCCCGGAACUGCCUUUGAUACUGUCAGUCUUGAGAUCGAGAGAGGUGAGUGGAACUCCGAGUGUAGAGGUGAAAUUCGUAGAUAUUCGGAAGAACACCAGUGGCGAAGGCGGCUCACUGGCUCGAUACUGACGCUGAGGUACGUGAGCGU